rnacentral:misc_RNA from 1 species
GAAAAAAAGAAAUAAUUAAUUUUGUCUUUUGGGGAGAAAAAAAGAUUGAUGUUUUAUUAAAGUGUAAAAAACAGAAAAAGAAGCUAACAAGAAGGGAUUCAUUUAACUGUAAGAAACAGCAUAUUAUUGGUCAUAUUACAUUCUUGUGAUACAAUUAUGAUUCAUGAUGCACCAAGAUUUGGGAUCAUUUUAGUUUAAUACAGAAUAAGAAAGUGUUGAAAUUAUAAAAUGCAGAUAGCUUCCAUGAUGAUGAUGGAAAUAAACUCCAUAAAUAUGAGAAAUCAGAAAUUUUAGGAAAGAGCUCCUACUCACCAGUGUUUGAG